CAAGUUCGAGCGGAUGAAGUGAGCUUGCUCAUGGAUUCAGCGGCGGACGGGUGAGUAAUGCCUAGGAAUCUGCCUGGUAGUGGGGGACAACGUUUCGAAAGGAACGCUAAUACCGCAUACGUCCUACGGGAGAAAGCAGGGGACCUUCGGGCCUUGCGCUAUCAGAUGAGCCUAGGUCGGAUUAGCUAGUUGGUGAGGUAAUGGCUCACCUAGGCUACGAUCCGUAACUGGUCUGAGAGGAUGAUCAGUCACACUGGAACUGAGACACGGUCCAGACUCCUACGGGAGGCAGCAGUGGGGAAUAUUGGACAAUGGGCGAAAGCCUGAUCCAGCCAUGCCGCGUGUGUGAAGAAGGUCUUCGGAAUGUAAAGCACUUUAAGUUGGGAGGAAGGGUUGUAGAUUAAUACUCUGCAAUUUUGACGUUACCGACAGAAUAAGCACCGGCUAACUCUGUGCCAGCAGCCGCGGUAAUACAGAGGGUGCAAGCGUUAAUCGGAAUUACUGGGCGUAAAGCGUGCGUAGGUGGUUUGUUAAGUCAGAUGUGAAAGCCCUGGGCUCAACCUGGGAACUGCAUUUGAUACUGGCAGGCUAGAGUGCGGUAGAGGGUGGUGGAAUUCCCGGUGUAGCGGUGAAAUGCGUAGAGAUCGGGAGGAACAUUCGUGGCGAAGGCGGCCACCUGGACCAGCACUGACACUGAGGCACGAAAGCGUGGGGAGCAAACAGGAUUAGAUACCCUGGUAGUCCACGCCCUAAACGAUGCGAACUGGACGUUGGUCUCAACUUGGAGAUCAGUGUCGAAGCUAACGCGUUAAGUUCGCCGCCCUUGGGGAGUACGGUCGCAAGACUGAAACUCCAAAAGGGAAUUGACGGGGGCCCGCACAAGCGGUGGAGUAUGUGGCUUAAUUUCGAUGCAACGCGAAGAACCUUACCUG
rnacentral:rRNA from 1 species